UGGGGGAUAUUGCACAAUGGGCGAAAGCCUGAUGCAGCGACGCCGCGUGGGGGAUGAAGGCCUUCGGGUUGUACACUUCUUUUGCUCUGAACAAGGCGCACCAUGGGGUGUGUUGAGUGUAGGGGUUGAUUAGCGCCGGCUAACUACGUGCCAGCAGCCGCGGUAAUACGUAGGGCGCGAGCGUUGUCCGGAAUUAUUGGGCGUAAAGGGCUUGUAGGUGGCUGGUUGCGUCUGUCGUGAAAGCUCAUGGCUUAACUGUGGGUUUGCGGUGGGUACGGGCUGGCUUGAGUGCAGUAGGGGAGGCUGGAAUUCCUGGUGUAGCGGUGGAAUGCGCAGAUAUCAGGAGGGAUACCGGUGGCGAAGGCGGGUCUCUGGGCUGUUACUGACACUGAGGAGCGAAAGCAUGGGGAGCGAACAGG
rnacentral:rRNA from 1 species